CGGGUGAGUAACGCGUGGGUAACCUGCCUCAUACAGGGGGAUAACAGUUAGAAAUGACUGCUAAUACCGCAUAAGCACACAGAAUCGCAUGAUUCGGUGUGAAAAACUCCGGUGGUAUGAGAUGGACCCGCGUCUGAUUAGCUAGUUGGUGGGGUAAAGGCCUACCAAGGCGACGAUCAGUAGCCGACCUGAGAGGGUGAUCGGCCACAUUGGGACUGAGACACGGCCCAAACUCCUACGGAAGGCAGCAG
rnacentral:rRNA from 1 species